UGAACGAAUUCAGACUGUGAAA
rnacentral:siRNA from 1 species